rnacentral:rRNA from 1 species
GUGGGGAAUCUUCCGCAAUGGACGAAAGUCUGACGGAGCGACGCCGCGUGAGUGAAGAAGGCCUUCGGGUCGUAAAGCUCUGUCAUCAGGGACGAACGGCCGGUGGAGUGGAAAGCCAUCGGAUUGACGGUACCUGAGAAGGAAGCCACGGCUAACUACGUGCCAGCAGCCGCGGUAAUACGUAGGUGGCAAGCGUUGUCCGGAAUUAUUGGGCGUAAAGCGCGCGCAGGUGGGAUCUUAAGUCCAUUUUUAAAGUUCGGAGCUCAACUCCGUGAUGGGAUGGAAACUGGGAUUCUUGAGUACCGGAGAGGAAAGCGGAAUUCCCCGUGUAGCGGUGAAAUGCGUAGAUAUGGGGAGGAACACCAGUGGCGAAGGCGGCUUUCUGGACGGUGUCUGACACUGAGGCGCGAAAGCCAGGGGAGCGAACGGGAUUAGAUACCCCAGUAGUCC